GGCCUUUUGUUUAUGAUUUAAGGUCUAGCCUGCCCAAUGAGAUUUUGAAUGGCCGCGGUAUUUUAACCGUGCAAAGGUAGCAUAAUCAUUAGUUUUUUAAUUAAAAGCUGGUAUGAAUGGUUGAAUGAAAAAAUAACUGUCUCUAUUUAAAUUUUUUAGAAUUUUAUUUUUAAGUAAAAAAGCUUAAAUUAUAUUAGAAGACGAGAAGACCCUGUAGAGUUUAAUUAAUUAUUAUAAUAGGAUUUUUAGUAUUCUUAUUUUUAUUAUUUAUAAUUAAUUUAGUUGGGGUGAUUUAAAAAUUUAAUAAACUUUUUUUAUAUUUAUACAUUAAUUUAUGAUUAUUUGAUCCUUAUUUUAAGAUUAAAAGAUAAAAUUACCUUAGGGAUAACAGCGUAAUUUUUUUAGAGAGUUCUAAUCGAAAAAAAAGAUUGCGACCUCGAUGUUGGAUUAAAAUAAAAAUUUGGUGUAGAAGCUAAAGUAUUUAGGUCUGUUCGACCUUUAAAAUUUUACAUGAUCUGAGUUUAAACCGGUGUAAGCCAGGUUGGUUUCUAUCUCUAUUUUAAAUAAAUAUUUUAGUACGAAAGGACCAAAUAUUAGGUUUAAAAUUUUCUAUUUGAAUAUAAUU
rnacentral:rRNA from 1 species